rnacentral:misc_RNA from 1 species
AAGUCGUAACAAGGUUUUCGUAGGUGAACCUGCGGAAGGAUCAUUAUUGAAGCAUAAGAGCGCACUUCAUCGUGGCUCGACCCUUCAUAUCCACCCACACUGUGCACUGUAAUACCUUUUUUAUCAGACUCUACAAGUCAAAGAAUGUACUACUUUUAUAAAGUAAACAAAA